rfam:Acyrthosiphon pisum strain LSR1 Contig16093, whole genome shotgun sequence.
AAAAAGGUCCUUUUCAGGACCACUAACAAGCCAUACCCAGCGUGC